GACACCCCAACACAUCUUCCUCCCAACUUAUGUCCCAUUCUCUUUUUUAAUCACCCAUUGAGUUCAAUCAGUGCUGCCUGCUAGGAUGCUGAUCAAUAUAAUUAGUACAAUUUCAAUCUGGUUGUCAGUUAAUAAGUGGACCAUGCCAUGUCCUGGAUAUAACAUUUCACAUCACCCCUCCUUGGCUCUUACUUUAUUCCCAUAUUUGAGAUUAAAACUGUAAGGCUCUCUCUGCCUUUUCUCUUCAUGAUCUUGGUUUUAUACUCUUUUGAGAUCAAUUCCUUGCUAUGUGGAGGAGAUCCUAAAAUCUCAUGCAUGCAAAGCAUGUGCUCUGUCAUGAAACUGUAUCUCAACAAAUGUUACUAUCACCUCCUGAAGUUCUUUGACAUAUUUUUAUUUGAUCACAUUGUAAUGAUUAAUUUUCCCAUACCUCUGACAUCCCUCAUGUCCAUUCUGGUGCCAAUUUAAACAAAUAUCCACCAUGUCAGUUGAGAAACAAAUGCAAUUUUGGCCGUACUUUCUUUAUUAUUUUUUCAAUAGUAAUGUUUAUUUAUUUAUUUGUGUGUGUGAGAGUGUGUGUGUGUAUUUAUGUGUGUGCAGUUAAAUUUUCUUUGACUUGCUACCUCACAAAUAAUGACAGGGAGACUUAGGAUUAAUAAUGAAAACUUGAUUUUAACUUAGAUUUUUCCCAGAUAGCUUUCCCAGAUACUGAGCUCCUAUAUACUAGGAUUUUCUCUGGUUUGAGCUUGGUCACUUCCUGUGAAUUCUGUUCAUGGUCUCUGUAAAUUCAUAUGUGCAUUUGCCAUGCUGUGUCUGGAAAAUGCUGUCUCCUUGAAGUCAUCCACUACCUCUGGUUCUUACAAACUUUCUGACUUCUAUUCUACAUAGAUCCCAGAGCCUUGAGGAGAGGAGUAUGACAUAGACAUCAUGGUCAGAACCAAGCAUUCCAAAGUCUAUUUCUUUAUUUUGACAAGUUGUAGAGGUUUUUGCUAACUACUAUCUACUACAAGAAGUUUUACUGAUGAGGGCUAAGUGAUGCCCAAUUCUAUGGAAAGAGCAGUAUGUCAUUAGGCAUUUUUUUUGCUAUAUUAAUUUAAUAGAUUAUUAGUAGUAGGUAUUCUCCUAGGACUCACAGUUUAUCUAGUCUUGGGUUCUUGAUCUCAUUGAACUCAGUGUUGGAUAUGCAUUCCAUCUCAUAGAAUGGGCCUGAAAUACCACUUAAUAAGCGUUUGGCUAGUCCCAUAACAUUUCUGCCACAAUUGCACCAGUGGUCAUAGCUUUCAGGCAGAUCAUUAUUGUUACUUACAUGGUUCACUGGAUGACAUUGUAAAUUACUUGUCUCAUCCAGUAUAGUGUAUGGCACCUUCAAGCACUGUGAACACUACAAGGUAAAAUGAUGUUUUCAUAUAUAUCUAGAGGGAAGAUAGAAAUCUGAACCAAGAAGAACCAGAAAUAAAACACUUUUUAUGCAUAUAAUUAAAAGUUGUAUUCUUUGAGAUUUUCUUACAUGUAUACAAGAGGUAAUUUGUUCAUGUACAUCCUCUAGUUUCAUGAUCAAAUUUCUUUGAAUGCCCUCCCAAAUCCCCCUCUCAAUGUCAUGUCUUCUUUUCACUUAUAAGCAACUGAGUCUAAUUAGUGUUGCCCAUAUGUUCAUAGUGUGGGUUCAUUCACUGGAGUAGAUGCAAAUAUCUGGGACUAUAUCUCUGAGAAAAAAAAAUGGCUUUUCCUUCUCUAGUAACCAUAAACUCUCAUGAGUUCCUCAGCUACGUGGUUAGGACUGAAGAGCCCCUCCACAUCCAUUAUGGAAAGAUGACUGGCUGAUCUUGUGUGGGUCUUGUGCAGGUAACCAGAACUUUUGUGGCUCCAUGAGAACAAUUGUCCUCUCUGGUCCAGAAGACACCAAAAACUAAAUGCUUUUGGCUUCAUAAAUAAUGGAGUUCUAUCUAGUUGAGAUCUAGUCUUAUUAGUAGAGGUGAGUGUAACCCUCGUUGACUUUUCCUAUUGCUUGGAAAUAUAUCCACUCAUCUGCCAUUAUUUGUGUGUAUGUUGUAUGCUUGUGUAUAUAUUUAUGUGUUCACAUGUGUGUGCACAUUUGUGUAGGCCAGAGGGUGAUGUGAUGGUGUCUUCCUCAAUUGCUUUUCACUUUAUUAUUAGCAUUUUAAAUUGCAUUUUAGUGUGUGUGCACACAUCCAUAUGUAUCAUGGUGCCUGUGUAGAAGUCAUAAGACAACUUGAAGGAGUUGGUUCACUUCUUCUACCAUGUGGUGUCUGGGGAUUGAACCCUGGUUGUAAGUCUUUAUAGCUGGCACUGUUACCCACUGAGUCAUCUUAUUGGACUUCCACUUUACCUCUUGAGAUGGGUGUCUCUCAGUGUCUUGAAGCUCAUUUCUUGGGCAAGACCAUCUGUCCAGUAAGCUCCACGGAUGGCCCUAUCUUUGCCUCUAUAUCACACAUCUUGUCUUUGAGCGUGUGUGUACUUUCUGUCACAGGAAGGAUUCUGAGCUCCUCUUGGAUUUUCACAACCUCAGACUCUGUCAUUUCUCCAAAAAACCAGAAACAUAGUCAACAUAAACCAGGAGUUGGGAUAUAGUACUGCUCAUGUCAGCUAGAAUAUCACUGUUUCCUAACUCUUUCAGAGACGUGGGAGCAUCUUCUCAUCCCUACUCUAUCAUUUUUAUCUACCACCUAUUUAGAGAAAUAAGAUUCUAUCACAAAACACCCUACUCUACACUGCCUACCUACAAAGACUCUUUUUUGCUCUGAACAUGUUUCAUUUUACCAAGACUGAGAAGCUUGGCUUUCAUUAUUCAAGAUAUUCUUUGUAAAUUGGUCAGUUUAUUUUUUGUUGUGGUUUUGAGACAGGAUUUCUCUGUUGUCCCAGAACUCACUUAGUAGACUUGAAUGGCCUUGAACUCACAGAGAUCUGCCUGUUCCUGCCUCCCAAGUCUUAGGAUUUAAGGCAAAUACCACCAUACCUGGCUAGGUCAAUUCAUGUUUUACUGUAAUGUAAUUAUUAUACAUAGCACCUAGUAAUAUUUUCAUUCAAGCAUAUAAUGUUCUUUGAUCAUAAUUCCUGACAUAUCCUCCUUUCUUCUCCCUCUUAUUAUUCAUUUUCCUAGACACUUCAUAUUCUACUCUUAGGAUCAAUUCAUUUUUAGAAAGUUACUUUGUGUCUGGCCAGGCAAGCAGAUCAGCCAUCAUCCAGAGAAGCUUCAUCCUGCAGCAGAUGGGAACAAAUACAGGCACCCACAGCCAAACAUUAUGCAAACCUUGGAACACUGAUCCCUAAAUGGGAUGUCUCCACCAAAUCCCUCCUUUCAGGACUCAGGAAAUCCUGUGAAUGAGGAGGUAGAAAGAGUAUAAGAGCCAGAAGAUAUGGAGGAUGCCCAGAAAAUAAGGUCCUCUACUGAUGCAGAGAAAGAAAGAGAAGAAAAACUUCUGCAACAUACAAGGAAGUGGCAGGACAGUUGAAAAGUAUGAGGGAAAAAUGGAUUAACUCAUGGGAAAGAAGCCAAGCUGAAGUUGGCUCCAGCUGCCCUGUGCCCUAACAUAGGGAGGAAGUGUGUGCAUGCACAGGCCAAACAAUGGUGUCAGAUCCCUGGAGCUGGAGUUACAAGGGAGCUGUGUACCAUGGGCCUUGGCAAACAAGCUCAGGUCCUCUGAAAGAGCAGCAAGUAGCCAUGACUGCUGAGUCACCUCGUCACUCCUGGAAGAUCUCUCUUCAUUGUGUCACCAUCCCAUGAGCUAGCCUCCUGGGCUUAAGAAAAAGGAGAGAGGAAGCCGAGUACUGGAGUUCAUGUUUCCUGACUGUGGAUGCAGUGUGACCAGCUGGCUCAAGUUUCUGCUGCCAUGAAUAUUCCACCAUGAUGGACCAUACCUUCAAAGUGUGAGUCAGGAGGAAAAAAAAAAUAACUUCCUUAAAUUGAUUCUGUCAAUUAUUUUGACAGAGAAAUAAUAAGUAACUAAUUCAAAUACUGUAGCUACCAGUAAAAUAUGGAAUCCCUUUACUACCCAAGAAAAAUAUUUAAAUGAUUUUCAUUAAAAUAUAGCCGUCAAAUAUUUGUUUGCUGUGUCAAUGACUCAUAGAGAGAAAAUUCAGGAAUUUUCCCUCCAAACACCUUCACGGGAGCUGGAGAGAUGGUUCAGUGGUUAAGAGUAUUUGAUGCUCUUGCAGAGGACCUGGAUUUGAUUCCUAUUCUUCACAUGGCAGUUCAACAUUGCCUAUAACUCCAGUUCUAGGCUAUCCAAUGUCUUCUUUUGACAUUCACAGGUACCAGCACACAAGUGGUGAAUGUAUAUAAAUAUACAUGUAAACAUUUAUACAUAUAAACUAGACAUGAAUCUUUAAAAAGUAGGAAUCCUUAAACACUUUAGAAGAGACUCAGAGAAGAACCAUGUGGCUACAGGGAAACUCCUGCUAUUCAAAUGUGGUCCAUGGAUCAGCAGCAUCUAGGAGCUUAUUAGAGGCACACAAUUGCAAACCUCUGUAGUGGCGGGGUGUGGGUAGUGUGGUGGACAGUACAUGUACUCACUGGAGUGUAUUGGAGAUCUUUAGUUUUCCUCUCAAUUCCUCUAUGACAAGAAAUUGCUCUACAAAUAUUAUUCUCUUAUAGGAAUCAAAAAAUUAAAUAAGGGUUGGUAAGAUGGCUUAGUGAUUAAAGGUACUUGCUGAGCAAGUCAGAUGAACUGAAUUUGAUUCCUGUAUCCAUGUAAGGUGGACAGAAAACCCUGGCUCUACAAGUUACCCUGUGACUGCCACAUGCAUAACAUAGCAGGUGUACUUACUCAUACCCCACACAAAUGAUUAAUAAUAAUAAUAAUAAAUUUAAAUUAAAGGGGUCUGGAGAGAUGGUUCAGUGAGUAAGAGUUCCUUUUGUGCCAAUGGAAGAUUCCGAGUUCAAAUUACCAGAACUCACAUAAAUAGGUGACCAUGUGUUCUUGCAACCCCAUCGAGGAAGGGAAAUGGAGCCAAGAGGGUCACUGGGGCUUUCUGGAUACCAGACUAGAUCCACAUGCAUCUAGAGCCCCUGCCCCAAAAGAAUAAGAAUAACAUAGCAGAAUGCCAACAUUCUCCUCUCUUCUUUGUGAGCCCAUGUGCAUGUGUGUAUGCACACACACAGAGACACAGACACACACAGAGAGAAAAAAGGACCCACCAUGACAUACAAAAGAGCCCUGAGUGAGUAUGCAUAAGAGAGUUGAAUGCAAAGUAACUAGUGGUUAAAGGAAAGUAACAGGGAAUGCAUGAGAUCACAGUGAUAGAAACAACUGAACAAAAUUUAGAUAACUGAUAGAAUUUAAAAAGUAAAGAAGAGGACAUUCCUUUACACGAGGUAAUGGCUGGUAAACAUAGAGUAAAGGGUAGUAGAAAAGUCAUUAUUCUGUAGCUACAACAAUAAUAAUAGUUUUCAUCACAAAGUAUUCACAGAGAUAAGAAAUCAGGGGGUUAAAAGAAUGAAGAAGAGCAGGGUAUAGAGUUUCCCAGAUGCUAUUUACACAGAGCAGAAUAAAUCGCAGAUGAAGCUGUUGAACACAAUUGCACCACUCUCUCCCAAGGAUUAUCCUCAUUGCUGGACAGUGCACUUUGAUGGGGGCCUAGAUGCAAAUUCCCAGCAGAGAUACAGAAUUAGUGGGAUUGAAUGGAAAUGAGAAUCAGACUCUUCUCUGACAGAUAACCCAGUACCAAUGAGGACUUCCUGAAACAAAAUGUAUCUUUCUGGCAGCCCUACAAGCUCUGGUCCAGUGAACUUCUAGAAAGCUCCCUUGGACCCCAUAGAUAUCAUCAAUGUGCACAUCUUUCUGAAAUUUGUUAGAAUUUCUUCCAUCCUGGACCACCCCAUGUAUACGUUCUGAUACCGUCUUCUCUCUGGGCUUCUUGAGUCACACACCGUGAAGUAUCCUG